GAGCAGUCACUUAGGGUACACCUACUUCUUUGUGAUUUGAAUAAUCUAUUUCCACCCACCCCAGCCCCACACUGUCAACCACCUUCAACAAUCCGGGGAAUCAAGUUAAUCUUCAAUUAUGUGAAAGAAUUUCAGGAACGAGUGCAGCUCAAGUUACCAAGUAACUUACUGUUGUGAAAAGAUUCAUACUGCAAGCUGCCUAAAUGCAGGGCUUUUAAUGAUGUUCCCCGCCAACAAGGCAUGAAGAUGGGGCUUGCUUCCAUCUGGCCCUCCUGCCACCUUCAGCAACACGCCCCACAUCCAAUCCUGCUUACAGUCGAAGAUGAAUCUGGCAUAAUACAAAGAGCACUGGACCGGAAGCAUGAAGUUUCUCUUAUCUGUGCCUUGGUUUUCUUACGUGGAAAACAGAAAUGUUGACAUAAAUAAUCACACAGGUCUCUGCUAGUACCAUUUUGUGAUAUUAUAUCGUGCUUACCACACCUAGAAACAGGGGCCAUCAUUCCAGCCAGCUAACAGAGAAAAAUAAGAUAAAUAAUCAGGCUUGGGAAAAUACAUUUCGUAGACCAAGUAAACAAAGACAACAAUCUGGUAUAAGUGUUAUAACUGGGGGAUGAGGGGUUGCAAAUGGAGAUCCACCACAGUCAACUCUACUUGAAUUCCCCUGUUCUCGACAGGCAGCAGCAAUCAUAAUGGACUUGGAGCACCAGUCCCACAACAUCACAGGACAUCCAGACAUAAUUGCAUUAAUACUCGAACAACUAUCUGGUUAUUCAGCAUUGCCCAAUAUGUGAAUAAAGCUCCUAGGAAAAAUUAA